rnacentral:rRNA from 1 species
UACGUAGGGGGCUAGCGUUGCUCGGAAUCACUGGGCGUAAAGGGCGCGUAGGCGGCCAUUCAAGUCGGGGGUGAAAGCCCAGGGCUCAGCCCUGGAAUUGCCUUCGAUACUGUUUGGCUCGAGACCGGAAGAGGUUAGUGGAACUGCGAGUGUAGAGGUGAAAUUCGUAGAUAUUCGCAAGAACACCAGUGGCGAAGGCGGCUAGCUGGUCCGGUUCUGACGCUGAGGCGCGAAAGCGUGGGGAGCAAACAGG